rnacentral:rRNA from 1 species
UACAGAGGUCCCAAGCGUUGUUCGGAUUCACUGGGCGUAAAGGGUGCGUAGGUGGUCGGGUAAGUUUGAUGUGAAAGCUCCGAGCUUAACUCGGAAAUUGCAUUGAAUACUAUUCGGCUAGAGGGUUGGAGGGGGGACUGGAAUUCUCGGUGUAGCAGUGAAAUGCGUAGAUAUCGAGAGGAACACCAGUGGCGAAGGCGACUACCUGGCCUGUUCUUGACGCUGAGGCGCGAAAGCUAGGGGAGCAAACGGG